UAACACGUAGGUAACCUGCCCAUGUGCCCGGGAUAACUUCUGGAAACGGAUGCUAAAACCGGAUAGGUAGCAGACAAGCAUUUGACUGCUAUUAAAGUGGCCUUGGCCAUGAACAUGGAUGGACCUGCGGUGCAUUAGCUAGUUGGUGAGGUAACGGCCCACCAAGGCGACGAUGCAUAGCCGGCCUGAGAGGGCGGACGGCCACAUUGGGACUGAGACACGGCCCAAACUCCUACGGGAGGCAGCAGUAGGGAAUUUUCGUCAAUGGGGGGAACCCUGAACGAGCAAUGCCGCGUGAGUGAGGAAGGUCUUCGGAUCGUAAAGCUCUGUUGUAAGAGAAAAACGGCACUCAUAGGGAAUGAUGAGUGAGUGAUGGUAUCUUACCAGAAAGUCACGGCUAACUACGUGCCAGCAGCCGCGGUAAUACGUAGGUGGCGAGCGUUAUCCGGAAUGAUUGGGCGUAAAGGGUGCGUAGGUGGCAGAUCAAGUCUGGAGUAAAAGGUAUGGGCUCAACCCGUACUGGCUCUGGAAACUGAUCAGCUAGAGAACAGAAGAGGACGGCGGAACUCCAUGUGUAGCGGUAAAAUGCGUAGAUAUAUGGAAGAACACCGGUGGCGAAGGCGGCCGUCUGGUCUGGAUUCUGACACUGAAGCACGAAAGCGUGGGGAGCAAAUAGGAUUAGAUACUCUAGUAGU
rnacentral:rRNA from 1 species